GAAUGGAAACUUUUCGAGGACCACAUCUAUUUACUCCAAGGAUCGCAGCUGUCUUGGCAGGAUGCCAAGGAGAAAUGUGAAGAAUUUCAGGCAUAUUUGUCAGAAAUAAACUCAGAGAGCGAAAAUACUUGGAUAACACAGAAAUUGAUGAAUCCCUUCUUUGGAAAGACGACAAAGGAAAAUAAAUGGAUUUCUGUUAUAUGGAUCGGAGCUAAUGAUACAGAAACUGAG